rnacentral:rRNA from 1 species
UACGUAGGUGACCAGCGUUGUCCGGAUUUACUGGGCGUGAAAGAGCGCGCAGGCGGCUUGCUACGUCGUGCGUGAAACACCCCGGCUCAACUGGGGAGGGUCGUGCGAUACGGGCAGGCUGGAGGCCAGUAGGGGGAUGCGGAAUUCCGGGUGUAGUGGUGGAAUGCGUAGAGAUCCGGAGGAACACCAGCGGCGAAGGCGGCAUCCUGGACUGGUACUGACGCUCAGGAGCGAAAGCGUGGGGAGCGAUCCGG